rnacentral:lncRNA from 1 species
CACUUGAAAUCUGUCUUCCCUUCCAGACUGCCUGCGCUGCUGACUUAAGGCCCCAACACCAAACACAGAAGCAACAGCCUUACACAGAGUGUUCAGCAAGCUCCCACAAUUGUGUAAGCAGCCCGAGCUGACAGAGAUAGACAGAAACAACACAAGGACCCAUCAGCAGACGAAUGGAUGAUCAAAACGUGCUUGCAGGGGAAUCACUGAAAUGGGGACAGGCCAUAAAAGGACAACCAGAAGAGUGGCUUCAGCAAAGGCAUCGUUUUUCAGAGCAAGCUAGAGAAUCC